rnacentral:lncRNA from 1 species
AAAUUUUUAGAGGAAAUCAUGCCUAGGAUUUGCUUCAAAAUAAUUAGGAGCAGUUGUGGGAAAUGGAUGGUGAUACAAAGAAAAAGUAUAACUAAUAACAAUUGUUGAGUUAGGUGACAUACACAUGGAAUUUUUUAUACUAUCCUCUCUACUUUUGCAUAUGGUUGAAAUAGUCCACGUUAAAAAUGUUUUUAAGGUGGCUCGUACCUCAAAAUUGAAAGUGUGUUUGUUGUUUAUUUGGCUGUAUGAUAUAAUACAAUGGUUCUUAAAGUACAUUUUUUGGAACAUUAGUUCUGAGAAUGUUAGAUGUUCUUCAUAUAACAGGUUAUGUGAUUAGAUUGGAAAACACCAAAUUAAACAGGUUUUUUCACUAUUCAGAAUCUUAACGAUGUUAAUAUAAUUCUCCAAGUGGAUGUAAUAUGCAAGGUUUCCCAAUUGAUUUAGUUAAUUGAAUUCUUUUUUAUAUGUCCUUUGGGAGGCUAGUAUUCUAUAGAACAUAUUUUAGUAAACACUGGUGUGGAGUUCCCACUGUGGUUAAGAGUCUGACUGCAGUGGCCCAAGUCACUGCAGAGGUGUGAGUUCUAUUCCCAGCCUAGCACAGUGGGUUAAAGGAUUGGGGUUGCUACAGCUGUGGCAUAGGUCACAGCUGCGGCUCUGGGCACUGACCACUCUACAGUUUGCAUCUCUAGCCAAGAUGCAUGCAAAGCUCAAUUCCUCACUCUCCUUGGAGAUUCCUUACUGUUAUGCUUUCAGGAAUGACCAACACAGUUUAAUGAAGCCUAUAAAGUGUCACUUGAUUGUAUUUAAAAUUGAUGUUUCCUUUCCUUGCUAUUUCUUGGGGUUUGUAGGUCAACAUUUCGAGUGUUUGGAAGCUAUGUGUCCACUGAAGGGGUAAUGGACUUCGUAGUACCCCAUCCACUCCUUGGCCACAGAAACAUGCUUAGGAACUGACCCAACUUCAGACAUCUAAGUUCAUUCCUGCAAACCCAUUUCCUGUAUUCAAUUCUGGGAUGGGUAUGGGGUCCAGAGAUGGGCAAGUGUUAUAUCCAAGCACGGAGGCCCUUUAUUCCAUGAUAACUAAGAGCCUCUUUUUUCCCCCAAUGGAUGUGAAUUAUGAAGCUUCAGCCCCUCCCCAAUACUUCUGCCAACCCUUCUCCUACAAAAAGGGUCCAGCCAGGGGCAAGGCUGACACUGGAACAGCAUCAAGGAUGGGUGGAAUAGCAAAGUCCUUGUUUACAUUAUUGAACUGCUGAAACCAUCAAUACUAUACCUACUCAAGCACCUCUAAACUUCCUGUUAAGUAAGGUGAGAGAUUUCCUUGUUGAAAUUACCAGAAACAGUGGUUUUUGUCAGGUGGAGCCAAAAGCAUCCUCACUGAAAAAGAUAACAAAGGUUAGAGUUGAGUUUGCAAAUUUCACUUGGUAAAUUACUCUUGCUGUGAAAUACUGUUGAUAGGUAAAGGAACCGUAUCCUUGCCAUCACAGAAUUAUAACAAUUUUUAAUUUUUGUCCAUCUAUUCUAAUUCAUGUUUCCCUGAUUAUUAGGGAGGCUGAAAUUUCUUUCUGUAUGUUUAUUAGCCAGUUGGAUUUCCCUUUCAGUGAAUUGCUUAAUUAUAUACUUUGCCUAUUUUUCCACUGGAUAGUUUAUCUUUUUCACAUUGAUUUUUUUAAAUUUAGAAAUAUAUCAUUGAUAAAUUACUUGUUAUUUACCUGUAUUCAGUGAAAAUACCUCUCCUACUCUAAGUUUCUUUUGAUCUUUGCUUUUUUUGUCUUUCUAUAUAGAAAUUUUAAUUGUAAUGUAGUUGAACUCAUCUUUUUCUCUACUGUUUGUGCUUUUCUGAUAUAUUGCUUGAAAAUCAUUUUGUGCUUACAGAACAUAAAGAUCUUCUCUUAUUUUUUAAUGAAAUUUUACUUCUUCACCUUGAAAUAUUUUUCGUACCAGGAAUCUAUUUUAUAUUCAAUGUUGGAUGGGGCCUCAAGUAUUUUUCCAUAUGCGCAUUUUUCUAGGAUGACUUAUUGAAUAGACAAUCCUUUUCCCCAUUUAUGUGUAAUGUUAACUCUGACAAACACCAUUUUACAUAGGAUCACCUUUGUAUCUAGGUCUCUGUUCUGUUUUAUUAGACUAUUUGUAUAUACCUAUACCUGUAUUAUAUGGUCAUUAUUAAAUAGCCAUAUACUAAACAUCUAUAUCUUAGUUCCUUUUCUAUAUGCAUUUCAGUAUCAGUUUAUCAAAACCAUCCUAUUGGGAUUUUGAUUGAUAUAGAGACUAAUUUCAAGAGAAUACCUUUAAGAUAUUUAGUCUUCCCAUCCAUGACAUGGUAUAAUUAUUUCUCCAUUAUUAAGGUCUUGUUUUACAUGCAUGGAUGAGAAAAUAAAAUCCUUCUAUAAUCUACAGCAUUUUAUCAUUUAUUCUAAAAGAUAAGACAAUCAGGGAAUUCCUGUUGUGGCUCAGCAGUAACAAACUCAACCAGUAUCCUCAAGGAUGCGUGUUCCAUCCCCAGCCCCCACCCACUGGGUUAAGGAUCCGGCAUUGUCAUGAGCUGCAGUGUAGGUCACAGAAGUGGGUCAGAUCUGGCAUUUCUGUGGCUGUAUAUAGGCCAGUAGCUGAAGCUCUGAUUAGACUCCUGGCCUAGGAACUUCCAUGUGCCUCAGGUGUGGCCCUAAAAAGCAAAAACAAACAAACAAACAAACAAACAAAAAACCCCGCCCCCCCAAAAAAAACCCAAGUAAUAAAAAACACUCAAUGUUUUACUCCCUUGAAGAGAUCAUGAAUAUCAAACUUUCCUUAUGUUGAACAAUUACUCUUGUUCUCUUUUUUUACAAUGUAUUUUUAAAACCUAUUUUCAAAUGUAGAAAACACUAAGACCUUAGGUAUGUUAGUCCCUGUCUCUGACCUCAUUUCUUUGGUGCAUAUCCUUGGUAAAAGACAAAUCUACAUUUAAGAUUUUUGAAGUCAUGGGAUGUUUUUCCCCAUAGUUCCUUUAGUAAUGUUUUCUAAUUUUCCACCAAAACAGCAUUUAUCAUCUUUUAUUGAGUUUGUUUCUUGGUUUCUGUUGCUAUUAUAAUAGAAACUAGGAAGUCUUUCAUAUUUUAAAGUUAGAUGCUGCUGAAGUAUAGUAACAUUAUUCAGUUUGUAUGUUAAUUUUAUACUAAACAAAGUUGCAGAUAUAUAUACACAAGUUUUCUU